UACAUGUGGGGCAAGCGUUGUUCGGAAUUACUGGGCAUAAAGGGUGCGUAGGCGGUUUGUUAAGUCACAGGUGAAAAGUUUUCGGCCCAACCGGAAAAUUGCCUGCGAUACUGGCGAACUCGAGUGCGUGAGGGGUAGGGGGAACGAGCAGUGUAGCGGUGAAAUGCGUAGAUAUCUGGAGGAACACCGGUGGCGAAGGCGGCAUCCUGGACCGAGAUUGACGCUGAGGCGCGAAAGCGUGGGGAGCAAACAGG
rnacentral:rRNA from 1 species